rnacentral:rRNA from 1 species
AUCAACGCUGGCGGCGUGCCUAACACAUGCAAGUCGAACGAGAAAGCUGGUAGCAAUACCGGUGAGUACAGUGGCGACCGGGUGAGUAACACGUGGACAACCUGCCACCGAGUGGGGAAUAACCCUGGGAAACCGGGGCUAAUACCGCAUAACACCCACGGGCUGCGGCCUGAGGGUUGAAACCCGCAAGGGGCUUGGUGAGGGGUCCGCGGCCGAUUAGCUAGUUGGUGAGGUAACGGCCCACCAAGGCCAUGAUCGGUAGCCGGCCUGAGAGGGCGGACGGCCACACUGGAACUGCAACACGGUCCAGACUCCUACGGGAGGCAGCAGUGGGGAAUUUUGCGCAAUGGGGGAAACCCUGACGCAGCAACGCCGCGUGGACGAUGAAGCUCUUUGGAGUGUAAAGUCCUUUCGGCAGGGACGAAGCGGGAGCAAUCCCGUUGACGGUACCUGAAGAAGAAGCCCCGGCUAACUUCGU